AUUGAACGCUGGCGGAAUGCUUUACACAUGCAAGUCGAGCGGCAGCGCGGGGCAACCUGGCGGCGAGCGGCGAACGGGUGAGUAAUGCAUCGGAACAUGCCCAUGUCGUGGGGGAUAGCCCGGCGAAAGCCGGAUUAAUACCGCAUACGCCCGAGAGGGGAAAAGCAGGGGACCGCAAAGGCCUUGCGCGAUUGGGUUGGCCGAUGUCCGAUUAGCUUGUUGGUGAGGUAAAGGCUUACCAAGGCGAUGAUCGGUAGCUGGUCUGAGAGGAUGAUCAGCCACACUGGGACUGAGACACGGCCCAGACUCCUACGGGAGGCAGCAGUGGGGAAUUUUGGACAAUGGGGGCAACCCUGAUCCAGCCAUUCCGCGUGAGUG
rnacentral:rRNA from 1 species